AGAUGUCGUUAUUCACAGCAGGGUUGGGGUACUUGGGGUACCGCGCUAGGAAUUUGUGGCAUAGCAACCCCAAGCUCUUCUCCUUCCGACUCGGCUGGGAUUUCUCAAAUUCGUCUCCUGAUAAGUGUUCCUGCAGAGGGAAAGACAUUGCCUCUAGGCAGACCGCGCCAACAGACAGCAGUAAAUUCCUCCAUCAAACCCUUCUGUCACGAGACUUCAAGCAAACACAGAAUCUACAGUGACAGUCCUCUCUCAGGUUCGAGAUGGCUGUAGCAAGCACCCACCUGUGCACUGAUCCGGGCUGCGGACGGAGCGCACGAGCCCGGGUUCCGAUGGAGCACGCACCGAGCCUGCAUCGGGGGAGAUGCUGAAGUUUCUCGCCUGACACACACGUGCACAGGCUCAGAAGGAAGGACUUGUGAAGUGGCCUGAGAACAACCCUCCAAUUCAGCCUCUGCGCUCUAAGCGCACGACCGGGCAUUUACAAAGGGCUUUGGGAUCUUGACCCCCUUUUUCAGGCUUCUUUCAAUACACGAAGUACUGGGGCGAGGGAAGGAUUCCCUAGGUGCCGAAAUCACCGCGAUGCCAAAGCGCACCGUACGCUGCGCUCCCGGUCCCAGGGAUGUGAACCUGUUUUGUACAAAUUGGUGGCUUGUUUGGGUUCUUCAGAAUUGUGGCUUCUGAUUCACUGGAGGUGGCUGUGCCCCUACCCCGCAACCCCCUGAAGUGGCUGGCAUUGGUGCAAAUGAGGCUGUUGAACCUGAUCGUGUUCUCUCUGGCCUUGGACCUGAGUGCUGCAGAGAGAGAGAGAGAGGGAGACUCUGAUGGCUCUGAAGAUCAUGGCCCUUCCCAUAUGAGGUUCUAGGCAGUAUUCCUGAGCCGGUCUCUUGCUCACUCCCCAGCCCUUUUGAAUACCCCUUUUCGGUAUGAAUUUGAUGAUCUAAUUUGACUAUCUCUCAAAUGCUCAGGUGUGUUACAGUUUUACUCUUCACUGUAUCAGUUUGUCACACGGUUAAGAGAGCAGGAUCUACCCUUCACUCGGGGUCAUUCUCUGCAUCCUAGCUGAUGUUCAGUGAAAGCUCCAAGGGUUUGUCAAUGUGGAAACUGGUUGGCAGUCAAUCGAUGGUCUCGCAGCCACAGUUAGAGAUGAGCUGCAUCUGGGUCUGCCCAUGUGCUUUUAGAAUAGGCUGAACUUUAUAACACAUUCAAUCUUUGGAAUAAACUGCCACCGUUUUAUUGUUAGUUGAACUAUAUACAAGGUUGCUGGGGUAGGAUAUUUCAGGGGCAGAGUGCUUGCCUAGCAUGCAUGAGACUGUAGGUGGACUCCAUCCCCAGGACCAAAAUAAUAAUUUUAUUCAUAGAGGAAGAUGUUUGCCUGGGUUCAAUGCCCAACAACUCCAGCUUUGGAGGAUCCAAAUGCUUCUGUCUUCUGAGGUCACUAGCAUGGACAUAGCCCCUACCACACAUGUACACACAAUUAAAAAACAAAGCAUAGGAUUUGGAGUAAAACAGACUUUGCUUUUAAAGCCCCAUAAUAAUAUUGCAAUGCUGUAGACAUGAACACUUUCUCAACAACCCCCAUACACAUAUACUGAAAGAGAAAUUAAAAUAUAACCCUGAGUGGGCCUUACAAGGAGAAGAUGAGUUAGUGCAUGAAAAACAGCAGUGUUUAGCAUGUGCUAAAUAAAGAAAGCUGUUAUAUAUUGCCAUGUGUAAUCUAAUCCAAAACAAUCCAUACAUGUGUGUAUCUGGAUUUGCCUUUAAAAAAAAAAAUGUUCUAAUCACCACAGCGAGA
rnacentral:lncRNA from 1 species